UACGUAGGGGGCAAGCGUUGUCCGGAUUCAUUGGGCGUAAAGAGCGUGUAGGCGGCCAGGUAGGUCGGUUGUGAAAACUGGAGGCUCAACCUUCAGAGGUCGACCGAAACCAUCUGGCUAGAGUCCGGGAGAGGAGAGUGGAAUUCCUGGUGGUAGCGGUGAAAUGCGCAGAUAUCAGGAAGAACACCCGUGGCGGAAAGCGGCUCUCUGGAACGGUACUGACGCUGAGACGCGAAAGCGUGGGGAGCGAACAGG
rnacentral:rRNA from 1 species